rnacentral:rRNA from 1 species
UAUUGCGCAAUGGGCGAAAGCCUGACGCAGCAACGCCGCGUGGAUGAUGAAGGCCUUCGGGUUGUAAAAUCCUUUUCUGGGGGAAGAAACGGACGGUACCCCAGGAAUAAGUGUCGGCUAACUACGUGCCAGCAGCCGCGGUAAAACGUAGGACGCGAGCGUUAUCCGGAUUUACUGGGCGUAAAGCGCGUGCAGGCGGCUUGUUAAGUCGUGCGUGAAAGCUCCCUGGCUCAACCGGGAGAGGUCGUACGAAACUAGCAGGCUUGAGGGCAGCAGAGGAGUGUGGAAUUCCGGGUGUAGUGGUGAAAUGCGUAGAUAUCCGGAGGAACACCAGUGGCGAAGGCGGCACUCUGGGCUGUACCUGACGCUAAGACGCGAAAGCAUGGGUAGCGAACGGG